CCUACGGGGGGCAGCAGUGGGGAAUAUUGGACAAUGGGGGGAACCCUGAUCCAGCCAUGCCGCGUGUGUGAAGAAGGCCCUCGGGUUGUAAAGCACUUUCAGUGAGGAAGAACGCCUGGUGGUUAAUACCCAUCAGGAAAGACAUCACUCACAGAAGAAGCACCGGCUAACUCCGUGCCAGCAGCCGCGGUAAUACGGAGGGUGCGAGCGUUAAUCGGAAUUACUGGGCGUAAAGCGCGCGUAGGUGGCUUGAUAAGCCGGUUGUGAAAGCCCCGGGCUCAACCUGGGAACGGCAUCCGGAACUGUCAAGCUAGAGUGCAGGAGAGGAAGGUAGAAUUCCCGGUGUAGCGGUGAAAUGCGUAGAGAUCGGGAGGAAUACCAGUGGCGAAGGCGGCCUUCUGGACUGACACUGACACUGAGGUGCGAAAGCGUGGGUAGCAAACAGGAUUAGAUACCCUAGUAGGC
rnacentral:rRNA from 1 species